CUCCAACCCUAACCCUAACCCUAACCCUAGCUCCAACCAUAACCCUAAACCAUGCAUUCCUAUGGGAAAAAUCAAAUUUUUUUAGGAAUGUCCUAGAGACUCGGGAGUUGGUUCAUUGCACUCAGAAAAAUCCUAGCUCAAAGCCCAACCCUAACCCUAGCUCCAACACUAACCCUAACUCCAACCCUAACCCUAACCCUAACCCUAGCUCCAACCCUAACCCUAACCCUAACCCAUGCAUUCCUAUGGGAAAAAAUCAAAUUUUUUUAGGAACGUCCAAGAGACUCGGGAGUUGGUUCAUUGCACUCAGAAAAAUCCUAGCUCAAAGCCCAACCCUAACCCUAGCUCCAACACUAACCCUAACUCCAACCCUAACCCUAACCCUAACCCUAGCUCCAACCCUAACCCUAACCAUAACCCUAACCCAUGCAUUCCUAUGGGAAAAAAUCAAAUUUUUUUAGGAAUGUCCUAGAGACUCGGGAGUUGGUUCAGUGCACUCAGAAAAAUCCUAGCUCCAAGCCCAACCCUAACCCUAGCUCCAACACUAACCCUAACUCCAACCCUAACCCUAACCCUAACCCUAGCUCCAACCCUAA